rnacentral:rRNA from 1 species
UACGAAGGGGGCUAGCGUUGUUCGGAUUUACUGGGCGUAAAGCGCACGUAGGCGGAUUGCUAAGUCAGGGGUGAAAUCCUAGAGCUCAACUCCAGAACUGCCUUUGAUACUGGCGAUCUUGAGUCCGGGAGAGGUGAGUGGAACUGCGAGUGUAGAGGUGAAAUUCGUAGAUAUUCGCAAGAACACCAGUGGCGAAGGCGGCUCACUGGCCCGGUACUGACGCUGAGG